GGGCGGAUAGCUCAGCGGGAGAGCGCUUGACUCACAUUCAAGAGGUCCAGGGUUCGAUCCCCUGUCCGCCCACCA
rnacentral:tRNA from 1 species